rnacentral:rRNA from 1 species
GUGCCAGCAGCCGCGGUAAUACGGAGGGUGCAAGCGUUACUCGGAAUCACUGGGCGUAAAGCGCGCGCAGGCGGCCUUUUAAGUUGGAUGUGAAAGCCUAUGGCUCAACCAUAGAACUGCAUCCAAAACUAUUAGGCUAGAGUGUGGGAGAGGAAGAUGGAAUUAGUUGUGUAGGGGUAAAAUCCGUAGAGAUAACUAGGAAUACCAAAAGCGAAGGCAAUCUUCUGGAACAUUACUGACGCUGAGGCGCGAAAGCGUGGGGAGCAAACAGGAUUAGAUACCCUGGUAGUCCACGCCCUAAACGAUGAAUGUUAGUCGUCGGGUAGCUAGUCUAUUCGGUGAUGCAGCUAACGCAUUAAACAUUCCGCCUGGGGAGUACGGUCGCAAGAUUAAAACUCAAAGGAAUAGACGGGGACCCGCACAAGUGGUGGAGCAUGUGGUUUAAUUCGAAGAUACGCGAAGAACCUUACCUAGCCUUGACAUAUAUUAGAACUCAGCAGAGAUGCAGAGGUGCCUUCGGGAGCUUUUAUACAGGUGCUGCACGGCUGUCGUCAGCUCGUGUCGUGAGAUGUUGGGUUAAGUCCCGCAACGAGCGCAACCCUCGUCACUAGUUACUAACGGUUCGGCCGAGGACUCUAGUGAGACUGCCUUCGUAAGGAGGAGGAAGGUGAGGACGACGUCNAGUCAUCAUGGCCCUUACGGCUAGGGCAACACACGUGCUACAAUGGCCAGGACAGUGAGANGCNAUACCGCGAGGUGGAGCAAAUCUAUAAACCUGGUCUCAGUUCGGAU